rnacentral:rRNA from 1 species
AUUGAACGCUGGCGGCAGGCUUAACACAUGCAAGUCGAGCGAGCGGCGGACGGGUGAGUAAUGUCUGGGAAACUGCAUGAUGGAGGGGGAUAACUACUGGAAACGGUAGCUAAUACCGCAUACCAUCAGAUGAACCCAUAUGGGAUUAGCUUGUAGGUGAGGUAACGGCUCACCUAGGCGACGAUCACUAGCUGGUCUGAGAGGAUGAUCAGCCACACGGGGACUGAGACACGGCCCAGACUCCUACGGGAGGCAGCAGUGGGGAAUAUUGCACAAUGGGCGCAAGCCUUAUGCAGCCAUGCCGCGUGUAUGAAGAAGGCCUUCGGGUUGUAAAGUACUUUCAGCGGGGAGGCGUUACCCGCAGAAGAAGCACCGGCUAACUCCGUGCCAGCAGCCGCGGUAAUUC